UGAACGCUGGCGGUAGGCCUAACACAUGCAGGUCGAACGGCAGCACAGUAAGAGCUUGCUCUUACGGGUGGCGAGUGGCGGACGGGUGAGGAAUACAUCGGAAUCUACUUUUUCGUGGGGGAUAACGUAGGGAAACUUACGCUAAUACCGCAUACGACCUACGGGUGAAAGCAGGGGAUCUUCGGACCUUGCGCGAUUGAAUGAGCCGAUGUCGGAUUAGCUAGUUGGCGGGGUAAAGGCCCACCAAGGCGACGAUCCGUAGCUGGUCUGAGAGGAUGAUCAGCCACACUGGAACUGAGACACGGUCCAGACUCCUACGGGAGGCAGCAGUGGGGAAUAUUGGACAAUGGGCGCAAGCCUGAUCCAGCCAUACCGCGUGGGUGAAGAAGGCCUUCGGGUUGUAAAGCCCUUUUGUUGGGAAAGAAAAGCAGCAGGUUAAUACCCCGCUGUUCUGACGGUACCCAAAGAAUAAGCACCGGCUAACUUCGUG
rnacentral:rRNA from 1 species